GCAUAUCAAUAAGCGGAGGAAAAGAAACCAACCGGGAUUGCCUUAGUAACGGCGAGUGAAGCGGCAAAAGCUCAAAUUUGAAAUCUGGCGUCUUCGACGUCCGAGUUGUAAUUUGAAGAAGGCGACUUUGUAGCUGGUCCUUGUCUAUGUUCCUUGGAACAGGACGUCAUAGAGGGUGAGAAUCCCGUGUGGCGAGGAGUGCGGUUCUUUGUAAAGUGCCUUCGAAGAGUCGAGUUGUUUGGGAAUGCAGCUCUAAGCGGGUGGUAAAUUCCAUCUAAAGCUAAAUAUUGGCGAGAGACCGAUAGCGAACAAGUACAGUGAUGGAAAGAUGAAAAGAACUUUGAAAAGAGAGUGAAAAAGUACGUGAAAUUGUUGAAAGGGAAGGGCAUUUGAUCAGACAUGGUGUUUUGUGCCCUCUGCUCCUUGUGGGUAGGGGAAUCUCGCAUUUCACUGGGCCAGCAUCAGUUUUGGUGGCAGGAUAAAUCCAUAGGAAUGUAGCUUGCCUCGGUAAGUAUUAUAGCCUGUGGGAAUACUGCCAGCUGGGACUGAGGACUGCGACGUAAGUCAAGGAUGCUGGCAUAAUGGUUAUAUGCCGCCCGUCUUGAAACACGGACC
rnacentral:rRNA from 1 species